CGACGGUCUUGCGGAAGGAACGGUAAACGCGCUCCUCCGCAGGACCUCUUCGCUUCCCGUAGAGGGCGGGGCUUCGGCCCGGGUCUUUUAAAGUAACGCGCCACGGGCCAGCCAGAUCCGAGAGCUGGGUCCCUGGAGACAUGACAGAGUUGCAGUCGGGACUGUGCGUUCUACGGUGUAACUGGGAGAGCUUCCGACAAGCCAGCCAUUUUACGAAGGGGAGAACUCAAUAGUUUUCAACCUCUCGUGCAACCCAGUGCUCUGCUUUCUCACCUGCCUGUUUUGGGGUGCCCUUUCCCGGUCUCCGAGGCUUAUGAUUGCUGAGCCUUCUGUUGGACUAUUGGGGUCAACCCUUGCCCUUCUCACGUCUUCAAUAGGAAUUUCCUCCAUGGCAGAGUGAGAACAUACAGUCGUAACUUGAAGCCACCUAGUUAGAGAAUACUUUCAUUUAUCAUACAAGAGGAAGUUACAUUUAUUGCAUACUUGUAGUCCAGCAGAACACAUUGCCUUAGUCUCAUUAAAUAAUUUCAUGAGUCAGGUAUUACCUCUUUUAUUACAGAUGAGGAAACUAGUUCAGCCUUAAAAAACUCUGUGAGAGCAAAGACCAAGUGGAAGUGUCCUCAUCAAGUCCACUGUGUUUCCUCAUAAAGUCCUCAGUCUGGCACUGAAUAUUUUUUAAAUAGUGAAAUGGUAAACCCACAAACAACUCGUGUGGGUUUACCCAAAGUCCAAGGUUAAUACAGGGUCCGUCAGAAGUAACGCCUACUUGAGUAUGGUUGGGAGGGUAAUAAGGCACAAUGUGAUAGGAUUAUGAUUUGAAUAAAUCCACACUGAGGAAUCAUUGGUACCUGAGCCACCGACCAGCACCCCAUUUGUGGCCUCACUUCGAAGGUGUGUGUGUCCAGAGUGAAUUCAAAAAGAAGGAGGCAGAAGUAUGCUUAAUCCAUUGCAAACAUGUAAACAUUUCUACACUGAAGAAGAACAAGGAGGAGGAGAAGGAGAGGAAGGGGAAGAAGGAAGAAGAUAGAAGAGAGAAGAAAAAGAAACUGCAGGCAAGGUGAUCUGACUUGUACCAGUAGCUCAUUUAGUGUUUAUAGGGACUUAGAAGAUCUUUUCCUUUAAGUGACCUGAUCCUCCUGUGGCUAUUUAUGCCGCUUCCCCAGAAGAGCUGGAGAACAUGUGGUGACUACAUCUGUGUUAAAACCCUUCACGUACUCUGAAAUUAUUUUUAGAUUCAGAAUACAUUUUUUUCAUGUGUAAGAUUUCCCAUAAUAUUAGACUCCUGAUUAAUCAUUUCUCUUGUAACAAACUAAUGUCACCAAUUAAUUAGAGCAUGAUGGUAGUUGUGAGUGAGCAAAAUAAAUUUGUCUAAAAUGAAUGAUGUAUUUUAAGGAAUUUAUUAAAAAGCUCUCCUGCCUGCUAAA